rnacentral:rRNA from 1 species
UACGUAGGGUGCAAGCGUUAAUCGGAAUUACUGGGCGUAAAGCGUGCGCAGGCGGUUUUGUAAGUCUGUCGUGAAAUCCCCGGGCUCAACUUGGGAAUUGCGAUGGAGACUGCAAGGCUAGAAUCUGGCAGAGGGGGGUAGAAUUCCACGUGUAGCAGUGAAAUGCGUAGAGAUGUGGAGGAACACCGAUGGCGAAGGCAGCCCCCUGGGUCAAGAUUGACGCUCAUGCACGAAAGCGUGGGGAGCAAACAGG